rnacentral:rRNA from 1 species
GUCUACAGCCAUACCACCCUGAACACACCCGAUCUCGUCUGAUCUCAGAAGCUAAGCAGGGUCGGGCCUGGUUAGUACUUGGAUGGGAGACGCUAGCCACUAUUCU